AAAAAUCUGAACUGCAUCAAUACAAAACAGCACCAAUUCCGGAGGGUGUGUGCAACCAACAGGCAUCCCUGAACAGACACCAGCAAUAACAACAUGGAGAGCAGGGCUGCUUCACUGAGGUCCAGGCUGCUUCCCUUCCCUUCCCUUGGGCACCCUGGAUGCCCACGUUGAGGGAGGGCUGCGAGACAGAAGGAUGGAGUGAACCUGUGUCUAGAAACUUUUAAUAAGAGAUCCAUAACUUUCUGUUUCCCUUGGGUAUAAAUAUGGCAACAGAGAGGUUCGAUCUCUGUUCACUUUUCAACAUGGAGACGGCAUUUAGGACGAAUCAGAAGAAGCAGGAAAAAUACGCCCAUCCAGGUCAUCAGGUGUUCCUACCACUUCCAUGGCCACAGGUGUAUAAAAUCCAGCACCUAGGCAUGCAGACUGCUUCUAUUAAGGAAGGAGUCACUACAGCUGGAAGGGUGGGCAGACAUCAUAUUAAACCCUCUGGAUUAAGAAUCAAAUGUCAUUAAAGUUCAUGUGUGUAAAGGCAA